GACGAACGCUGGCGGCGUGCUUAACACAUGCAAGUCGAACGAAGAGCGAUGGAAGCUUGCUUCUAUCAAUCUUAGUGGCGAACGGGUGAGUAACGCGUAAUCAACCUGCCCUUCAGAGGGGGACAACAGUUGGAAACGACUGCUAAUACCGCAUACGAUCUAAUCUCGGCAUCGAGGAUAGAUGAAAGGUGGCUUCUACAUGUAAGCUAUCACUGAAGGAGGGGAUUGCGUCUGAUUAGCUAGUUGGAGGGGUAACGGCCCACCAAGGCGAUGAUCAGUAGCCCGUCUGAGAGGAUGAACGGCCACAUUGGGACUGAGACACGGCCCAGACUCCUACGGGAGGCAGCAGUGGGGAAUCUUCCGCAAUGGACGAAAGUCUGACGGAGCAACGCCGCGUGAGUGAUGACGGCCUUCGGGUUGUAAAGCUCUGUUAAUCGGGACGAAAGGCCUUCUUGCGAAUAGUGAGAAGGAUUGACGGUACCGGAAUAGAAAGCCACGGCUAACUACGUG
rnacentral:rRNA from 1 species